AUCUGAACUUGGAGUUUCUUUCCUAAUCCCCUUUCAGCGAUUGAAGAUGGCGGUGCUUUGUUGGAAAAUGAAGAGAACGGCGCAGCUAUACGUCUAACCCAUUGGCUCUAAAGGGGACAGCUGCAGCGAGACCCUUGGCAGCCAAUUUGCACGGACCCAGAGGUAGCUGCCUCUGUUUCACCGACCGACCCGAAGAAUCGACGGAUGCGACAGACCUUCACCCGCCCGCUGUGAGUUUUGAAGUGAAUCUCACCAGAGUACUCAUUUUCCUAUAGCUCGGAAGUCCACCUUGUCCCAUUACUGGAUAACUCGAUGUUUCCUUUGCCCUUGCACCAGAAAUUGAGUAAAAUCAUAAGAAAUUGUGAGUAAUAUGAAAAGCAAUUAAGGUAUUGAGACUAAUCGAGAAAACGACUGGUCGCCGGCCUCGCCGGACCAAUGGCUAAGCAACCGCGGGUGGUCUGUGCGGUUGUCCUGCGUCUGAAGCCGGUUUGGGAAAAUAGGGGUUUAUCUUGAUUUGGGACGAUAUUUUUCGAGAACUCGAAUCAGAGUUUGCCCUAGUCUUCUCCGUUCAAACGAAGCAGCGGCGACGGGUGUUUCCCAUCGAUCUCCCUCGAUUUGGUUUUUGGUGACCGGCUUUAUGAUUUUCCCCAUCCAUCAGAUCGGACCUGGGAGAAAAAAUAUCUGUCUCCCCCGAUUUGGAAGCCAAAAAUUGGAAGAACCGACCGAUUGGAUUGGAUCCCCCCAAAACACCCCUCUUGCCGGAAUCUGGAAGCUCCCCCGUCGAACCCCCUUCGAUCCUCCCUUUUCCCCCUUCUUUUUU
rnacentral:lncRNA from 1 species